ACUGCUCAGUAACACGUGGACAACCUGCCCUUAGGUUGGGUAUAAACCCGGGAAACUGGGUAUAAUACCCGAUAGGUCUCGAUUGCUGGAAUGCAUCGAGAUUUAAAGCUCCGGCGCCUAAGGAUGGGUCUGCGGCCUAUCAGGUAGUAGUGGGUGUAGCGUACCUACUAGCCUACGACGGGUACGGGUUGUGAGAGCAAGAGCCCGGAGAUGGAUUCUGAGACACGAAUCCAGGCCCUACGGGGUGCAGCAGGCGCGAAAACUUUACAAUGCUGGCAACAGCGAUAAGGGAACCUCGAGUGCCAGGUUACAAAUCUGGCUGUCGAGAUGCCUAAAAAGCAUUUCAUAGCAAGGGCCGGGCAAGACCGGUGCCAGCCGCCGCGGUAACACCGGCGGCUCGAGUGGUAACCGUUAUUAUUGGGUCUAAAGGGUCUGUAGCCGGCCGGAUAAGUCUCUUGAGAAAUCUGGCAGCUUAACUGUCAGGCUUUCAGGAGAUACUGUCUGGCUCGAGGCCGGGAGAGGUGAGAGGUACUUCAGGGGUAGGGGUGAAAUCUUGUAAUCCUUGAAGGACCACCAGUGGCGAAGGCGUCUCACCAGAACGGACCUGACGGCAAGGGACGAGAGCUAGGGGCACGAACCGGAUUAGAUACCCGGGUAGUCCUAGCCGUAAACGAUACUCGCUAGGUGUCGGCCACGGUGCGACCGUUGUCGGUGCCGUAGGGAAGCCGUGAAGCGAGCCACCUGGGAAGUACGGCCGCAAGGCUGAAACUUAAAGGAAUUGGCGGGGGAGCAC
rnacentral:rRNA from 1 species